UACGGAGGGGGCUAGCGUUGUUCGGAAUUACUGGGCGUAAAGGGCGCGUAGGCGGUGCGAUCAGUCAGGCGUGAAAGGCCCGGGCUCAACCCGGGGACUGCGCUUGAUACUGUUGCGCUGUGAGUCCGGGAGAGGAUGGCGGAAUUCCCAGUGUAGAGGUGAAAUUCGUAGAUAUUGGGAAGAACACUGGUGGCGAAGGCGGCCAUCUGGACCGGCACUGACGCUGAGGCGCGAAAGCGUGGGGAGCAAACAGG
rnacentral:rRNA from 1 species